rnacentral:lncRNA from 1 species
UCCAAAGCAAACUGCCUGAUUAGUGAAACAAUUUGUUUUUUACAAUGACAGCAAAUAGGUAAAUCUUGUGAGCGUCAGGAAAUCCUGGAGGAAUUUGAAUGGGAGUACUGACUGGUUUGCAAGUUGCACUUUGAUUAGAAGGCAUUGCUGCCUCUGGUUUUCAUGCUCAUGUAGCAGGGACAUAAACAAGAGGGACUCAAUUUGCUAGGGGCAUUUAUUUCUCUGUCUCUUCCUCUCUCUCUCUCUCUUGUUUUUACAAUCUAUGUGUAAUGACUAAUUGGCUGUGUUUUCCCAGCUAUUUUAUGUUUCUCUUGCCCUGGUUACAACGCGUACUAAAGCAGUAUAUCCACAGGGACCUAUAGACAGGCAACACUGCCAAAUGAUACGCAGCAUUCCCCUUUCUCUCUAAGUGUAAAACAUUUACAAGUAAAUUUACAAAUGCAUUAAGAACAUUUCCUCAGUUGACUGUUAGUGUUUAUUUCUUCCCCUUCUCCUCGCGGGAGCAGACACCUUCCAGCCCCUCAACUUUCGCACACUGCUCUCCCGUUAUUUGCCUCCUUCCCUCCCUGUCGCCCCUUUCCCUGCUCUCCCUCUCCCUCCUCCUCCUCCUCCUUUUCCAGUUCAGCGGCGCAAAUUUCUGUUUGUGCCAGUGGGGCGGCCUGGCGAGACCGCAAUUGCUCUACCCCACAGAUUGACGAGCCCUCAGAUGCCGAUUUACUGUACAUGGCAGCCACGCUGGAGCCGCGGCACAUCUGGAGUGGAGUAAGCUUACUCAGAAACAGGGGCCAGCUCCAGCCGGAGCCAGCGGAGCCGAGCGCGGCGCUGAAAGGCAGCCCUCCUGCCUCCCCUUCCCUCCUCCCCGGAUCCCAGUAGGAAAGGGCCAAAAUUCCCCAUGAAACAUCUUGCCCAGGUCUCAGCCUUCUCACCAGGGGAAGCAGUGAGCAUUACCUCCUUAUGGCUGCUUAGAAACCGCUCAAGGUGAAGCUCCGUAAGGAGGGGAUUCUGCGUUGGAGAGGUGUUGGUCAGCAUGGACAGACUGAAUUGCACAUCUCCAAGAUCCAGAAUGACCUUUCUGAAGUCAGGAGCAGCAUCACGGGUCCUGGGAGAAAUGCAGGGAUGGCACACCAUUUUGCAUAAACUAGGCGACUACUGAGAUGGAUAAAAUGGUUUCUUUGCUGUGAAAUGAUUUAUUUGGAAAAAACUCCACAUGUCUACACGGAAAGGCUGAUGGAACCAGUCUCAAAAGGAAAGCUGUUUGGCAAACUUCAAGAGAGAUCUUGGCAGUUGACUGAAAUCUAAAGUUUUUAAGGGACAGUUGGAUUUUAGCUGAGUUCUUCUAGAAGCCUGCAGGGCUCUGGCUGGCAGACCAUUGCUCAACCUUUUGACUGCCUGGGUGGAGGACUGAUGGCCUAUCAUUGCAGGAUGGCCCACCAAGUAGUCUACCUUUGAUCUAAAGACCUCGGGCCUUCCAGGUUUCAAAACUGGGACAACACUUGUUUUGAAACAUUUUAGAUGUGUUUUGGUAUUCAUUGGAAAUAUUUUUAUGAAUUACCAAAUCCUGACCCCAAAAAGUGUUCCAUAGGAGUUUUUUUAACAACUCUAUUCUAGUCUAAGUUUAAUCACCCUGAGGAGAAAAAAAAGUGUCUCCGUAAAGGAAAAAUAAAACAGAAUCCAGUGAAUUAGUCUGAAGCA